UACAGAGGGGGCAAGCGUUGUUCGGAAUUACUGGGCGUAAAGGGCGCGUAGGCGGCCUGUUAAGUCAGACGUGAAAUCCCCGGGCUUAACCUGGGAACUGCACUUGUGACUGCACAGCUGGAGUACGGCAGAGGGGGAUGGAAUUCCGCGUGUAGCAGUGAAAUGCGUAGAUAUGCGGAGGAACACCGAUGGCGAAGGCAGUCCCCUGGGCCUGUACUGACGCUCAUGCACGAAAGCGUGGGGAGCAAACAGG
rnacentral:rRNA from 1 species